UUUUAUCUAAAAUAUUUUAUUACUUAGUUUAGUACAACUCAAACAUACAAUCAAAACAAACACCAAUAACAGGUUAAGAUAACAAAAUUUUAUAACAACAAUAGUUUAAUGCAAAAAAAUGGUCCAUAAGGAUGGAUGACCAACCUCCAGGGAGGAGGAUUUCCUUGGUUUGAGCACAACUGCAAUUUCUCUUCGCUCCUUUUGUCUGCUUUCCUCUUUCUACCGCUUUUAGCCUUGAUGCUUACUUGAAUUUGAAUUGUAGGG
rnacentral:lncRNA from 1 species